ACCUGGAGAUAUCGGAAGUGCGAAUGCUGACAUGAGUAGCGAUAAAGAGUGUGAGAAACACUCUCGCCGAAAGCCCAAGGGUUCCUGCGCAAGGCUAAUCCGCGCAGGGUGAGUCGGCCCCUAAGACGAGCCCGAAGGGGGUAGUCGAUGGGAACACGGUUAAUAUUCCGUGACCUGGUGG
rnacentral:rRNA from 17 species